UACGUAGGGGGCCAGCGUUGUUCGGAAUUACUGGGUGUAAAGUGUGCGCAGGCGGCCGCGCAAGUCGAGUGUGAAAGCCCCGGGCUUAACUUGGGAAUUGCGCUCGAAACUACGUGGCUGGAGUGUGGCAGAGGAAGGUGGAAUUCCAGGUGUAGCGGUGAAAUGCGUAGAGAUCUGGAGGAACACCGAUGGCGAAGGCAGCCUUCUGGGCCAACACUGACGCUCAUGCACGAAAGCGUGGGGAGCAAACAGG
rnacentral:rRNA from 1 species